CACGCCGUAAACUAUGGAUGCUAGCUGUUAACCGUAUCGACCCGGUUAGUAGCGAAGCUAACGCGUUAAGCAUCCCGCCUGUGGAGUACGGUCGCAAGACUAAAACAUAAAGGAAUUGACGGGGACCCGCACAAGCGGUGGAGCGUGUUCUUUAAUUCGAAGGUAAGCGAAGAACCUUACCAGGGUUUGACAUCCCAGAAAGGCAUCCGAAAGGAUACUGUGCCCUCGGGAAUCUGGUGACAGGUGU
rnacentral:rRNA from 1 species